rnacentral:lncRNA from 1 species
GUGUCAGACAAGGGAAGCUGCUGUAUUGCAGAAUAAAUACAAGUCUGAGUAGGAAGAAGUUUCUUUGUUGUUUUCAUCUUAAAUACAGGGAAAGAAGAAAGACUCCAAAUUCCUAACAAUACUACUCUUGUAUAACCUGUGGGAAGAAUUCUGCCGAUGGAAGAAGCAGCAUAAUUGCAUCCUGACACCCAACCACAUCCUUGCUCUGAGUAUCUUAAUCAUUGUGGCCUAGAAGAAUGUGUACAGUUUUCUGUUAUUCUCCAGGAAAAAGAGGAGCAUGAAGCCUUGGAAAAAGUAAUCCCCAGUGGGAAAAGUUAAAAAUUUUAAAGGGAGGUGUAAGGGAGGAAAG